CAUCUUUAUUUGAACUUUUAAAAAACUAGUAUAUAUGUAAAUUUAAUACACUUUUAGAUCUGAAUAUUUGAAAUUAUUAUAAUAUAUUUUCAUAUCAUUAUUAAAAUACUUAAACUAAAAUUAAGUAAAAUCAAUUUUAUUUAUUUUAUUUUAUUUUUUGACAACGAACGGCCAUUCUAUAACUUAAAGAACUUGAGAUGGUCUGGGUAACCAGACCGGAAUAGAACAACCAAUGUAACAAAGCUUCCUAUAAAAGGAUCUAGCAGACUUAGCUAACGAAUCAGAUAUUCCAUUUUGUGCUCGUGGGAUGUGAAAGAUCUUGAAUUCUGGAAAACAUAGCUGGAGCAUCUUUAUUGCCUCCAAUUCAGUCGCGAAACUUGGCCAAGCUUGAGGUUCUCGUAUCAUUGCUAUUAGAUCUUUGCAAUCUGUUCCAAAGCUGUGACACGAAGAAUGUAGAAGCAUGCUCUCCAUUGCCCACCUUAGUGUCUCCACUUCCGAAUGCAAAGAAGUCUCUCUCCUACUUAAGUUGUGCAUUCCCAUAAGCUGUGUCUGUCCCAGGCUAUCCUUCCAGACCCAUCCGCAACCACUAAACUGUGCCAUGGAAGUCCAUGAUCCAUCCACCAUACAUAUAUUAUCCAAGCUUAUGGCUUGGGGUUCCUCAUUAUGAAGCUCAUGUGGGUUAUCCGGUAUCCUCUCAUUGGCAUUAAACCAAGCCUGGCAUUCACUUUCAGCAUAUCUAACUAGUUCCAUAGGAUCUCUGUCUAUUCCUCUAAACAGUUUAUCAUUUCGGGCCUUCCAGAUAUACCAGAUUAUCCAAGGAUAAGGGUCUUUGUAGAGCUGUAAACUGGGCGAGCCCAUGUCCACUAGUCCAUAUCCAUUUGUCCAUUUAUUAUUUGUGGACAAAGAGUGACCAUAACUAUUAAGGACCAUGUUCAUUAAGGCUUAAAUCCACUAACACCCAUAUUUAUAUGGGCUGCCAUGGGCUCCAUUAAAAACCAUAUAAGAAUAUUUUGAAUUUCAAUCUAUAAGUCUAAAAAUACAAAUAUAAAUUCAUAAGAUUAAAUUUCAUCCAUAAAUUCAUAAGUGCAACAAUACAUAAAUUCAAAGAUCACAUAAAUAGCAUCAGUUCAUACUUAAUAAAAUAGCAUCAGUUCAUACCUCGUAACUUCAAAGUUUAAACUCCCUAAGUGCUCAACUUCAUACAUGUCACUUGCCUGCACCAAAUCAAAGUUAAUGCAUUAAACCCAUAUCACUCAAAGUUCAAACCAUACGAGACUAAUACGUUAAUACCAUGCGAGACUAAUACGUUAAUACUUCAAAGUGCUCAAGUUCAAACCAUGCUAGACUAAUACAUUAAACCCAUAUCACUCAAAGUCUCAAACGUAUACAAGAUAGCAAUGUGAAAGCAUUUUUAGCAAGCAGACUCAAAGUCUCAAACUAUAAGCAGACUCAAGUCUCAAACGUAUAAGGAAACCCUAAAACCCAUAUCACUCAAACGUCUCAAACUUAUAAGCAGACUCAAACAUACACAACACAAAGAAGCCAAGACAAGUGAUUAUAUCAGUAGACUUACACAUGAACUUAGACCUGACAUGUUUCAUUAACUUCUACUCCAACUUCCUCCAACUCCAAAGGUUCAAAAUCCACUUCAUCACCUAAGAAAAUUCGAUUAUCAGUUUCAAGUACAAGACCAGUGACAAAUCUAAGGAUAGAACCAGAGACUAAUGAUCAAGAACUUACAGUCUAAAGACUCAAAUCCUCUUAGCCAAUUUAUUGCGCAAAUCAGUGCUCUGACAUUCGAAGGAUAAGGGUCUUUCCGUCUUUGUCAAGCUCUGGUGCAUCAAUGUUGUUCUUUCUCCAGAAGAGAUAAUCCAUGUUGGCGUAAAUACUUGUUAGAGGAAAGAUGUCAGGAGCAGAUGGUGUUGAUGCUAGGGACCACACUUGCAGAGCUGUAGCUGUUUCUUCUGAUUCUCCACACCUUGGACAGUAGUUAUCACAUCUCAUGUUUCGUCGUACUAGAUUCCUUGUAACAGAAACUUGUCCAGUUAUCAAUUGCCACAUAAGGGUGAUUUUACCUUCCAAACAAAGGCUUGGAGUUUGGUGAUGCUCGGUUCCAGGAUCUCCUUAUCUUCAUCGUUCCUCAUUAGGUUCCGUGCUACCCAAUAUCUCGAUUUAACUGUGUAUUGGCCAUUUUUGGUAUAAUUCCAGCAGAAGGAGUCUCUAUGGUGAGUUGAGCUUAUGGCCAAAAUCUUAAUGAGGUGUAUAUCAUGUGGAUUGACAUACUUUUCUAGUAAUCCAUCAUCCCACUCCCUUGUUUCCCCAUUAAUGAGAUCACUAACUCUCAAGUUUGGAUGGAGGACUGGAGCAAUAGGUCUUGCCGGCCUAGCUGGUGUAGUAGGGAUCCAAGGAUCCUCCCAAGCCCUAACCUCAUAUCCAGAAUGAUUUUUUUGUCUGAUCCCCAAAAGUAGUAAUUUUCGUGCCGCUGAUAUACUGGACCAGACGUAGGAUGGGACACUCACAGAAUGCAAUCGCAAUGGCGAGCUCAUUCUAUAAUAUCUUCCUCUCAAUACUCGAGCUACCAACGAGUCAGGGAAUUGGACUAGUCUCCACAGUUGUUUGGCUAGUAAAGCCAGGUUGAACUUAUGGAUCAUACGGAAACCAAUCCCGCCCUCUUCUCUUGGUAAACACAUCUUCUACCAUUUAGCCCAAUGAAUCCCUCUCUUUGGUGGAUUUGAGCUCCACCAGAAUUGUGCAAUGGCACUUGCGAGGUUCUCACAUAUCUCCAGCGGGAGCAAAAAGGUAGACAUAACAUAUGUCGGGAGUGCUAACAGUAUAGAUUUGAUCAAAACUUCCUUUCCUCCUUUUGAUAGCCACCUCCCCGUCCAUCCAUUCACUCUAUGCAUUAAUUUCUCCUUCAGGAACGCAAAUAGCUUGCAUUUAGAUCCGCUGAUAUCUUCUGGGAUUCCAAGAUAUGUUCCCAUACCUCCCUCAUUCUGUAUCCCUAGUUUAUCCUUGAUUUGCUGUCUGAGAUUUACACCUAUCCUCUUACCAAAGAGUAAAGAGGAUUUGUCAAAAUUGAUACACUGUCCUGAUGCUUUCCCAUAUUUGCUGACUACUUUCAUCACUUCUUCACAUUCAUGGGGAUCCGCCUUACAGAAGAAAAGGCUAUCAUCAGCAAAGAGAAUGUGAGAUACCGAGGGACACGCACGUGUAAUACGCAUCCCCGUUAUCAUACCUUGAUUCUCUGCAUGAUUAAGAAGGCUAACGAGCGCUUCCGUGCAUAGAAUAAAGAUGAAAGGAGACAAAGGAUCUCCUUGACGUAAACCUCUUUCCGGGACUAUAUUUCCCAUUGGUUGCCCAUUCAUGAGCACCUUAUAUUUAACCAUAGUGAUGCACCUCAUUAUCCAAGUGAUCCAGACUUCAGAGAAUCUCAUCUUGCGCAUAACUGUUUCAAUGAAUGACCACUCCAUCCUAUCGUAUGCUUUACUCAUAUCUGUCUUAAUGGCCAUCCUCUUAUUUCUCCCGCAUGGUUUAGUUCGCAGUGCAUGGAACAUCUCUUGUGCAAUCAUAAUAUUGUCCGAGAUCUGUCUUAUUUAUUUCUUUUAAAAUUAAUACUUUAAGUAUAUACACAACAUCAUAGUAAUAGGUAUCUUAUUAAUGUAAAUAAAAUGACGCAUUUUAUUUUACCGUAUCUUUUCUUUCUUUCCUAUUUUCUUAUAUCUACUCCUUCUAAUUUUGUUUACUUUUCUGUUGAUUAAAGAAAAUCAAACGUGUUUUUUUUUGUUUUUGAUCAAUCUGAGGAUAUCCCAUACUUAUAAAAAAGUUCUAGAUUAAUCUCUAAAAAGAGGUAUGGCUUAAAGAUAGACCAUCUCCGAGAGUAGUUAAAUGAAGCUAAAACAUAAUUAUAUAUUUCAAUGGCCAAAAGAUUUAGGAAAUAAAAUACAAUAAUACUGUAAAUUUUUGUCUUUUAGUUGAGAAAUUUAUCUUGAAGGGCGGAGGCAACAUACGGAGAUGGGUUUAGCUAACCCCCACUAUUUAAAAAAAAAAUAUUUGUUUUUGUAAAAAAAAAAUUCUUUUGAUCCCAUAAAAAAUAAAUUUGGACCUCAUAAAAAAAAUUCUGACCCGAUACAAAAUGUUUGUGGUUCCGCCAUAUGUAUAGUGUUUUGGAGUAUAGCUUACAGAAGAGAUUUAUGUGUUAGUAAAGUUGGUAAGAGGAAUUUUUAUCAGCAUAUUAGUAAGAUUAAUGUGGCUAUAUGCUCCCCAGAAAUGCAGCGACCAAACUAUAUAUGCUGCCUUUGUAACCCUAUUUUUAGUUUGUAUAGGUUAGAACACAAUAAAAUUGUUCCGAUAAUAAACAUUCCUUAUCUAAAGAUUUUUUUUUUGGUAAAAACAGGGAGAAAUACAUACUAAGAACUUACAGAAAAAUAAGUCUAAUUACAGAGUUUGAUAAAUUAUAAAACCAAUGUUAAAAUGAAUUUUAAGUAAUUAAUACUUUAAGUAUAUACACAACAUCAUAGUAAUAGGUAUUUUAUUAAUGUAAAUAAAAUGACGCAUUUUAUUUUACCGUAUCUUUUCUUUCUUUCCUAUUUUCUUAUAUCUACUCCUUCUAAUUUUUGUUUACUUUUCUGUUGAUUAAAGAAAAUCAAACGUGUUUUUUUUUUGUUUUUGAUCAAUCUGAGGAUAUCCCAUACUUAUAAAAAGUUCUAGAUUAAUCUCUAAAAAGCGGUAUGGCUUACGGAUAGACCAUCUCCGAGAGUAGUUAAAUGAAGCUAAAACAUAAUUAUAUAUUUCAAUGGCCAAAAGAUUUAGGAAAUAAAAUACAAUAAUACUGUAAAUUUUUGUCUUUUAGUUGAGAAAUUUAUCUUGAAGGACGGAGGCAACAUACGGAGAUGGAUUUAGCUAACCCCCACUAUUUAAAAAAAUAUUUAUAUUUGGUUUUUUUUAAAAAAAAAUCUUUUGAUCCCAUAAAAAAUAAAUUUGGACCUCAUAAAAAGAAUUCUGACCCGAUACAAAAUGUUUAUGGUUCCGCCAUAUGUAUAGUGUUUUGGAUUAGUAUAGCUUACAAAAGAGAUUUAUGUGUUAGUAAAGUUGGUAAGAGGAAUUUUUAUCAGCAUAUUAGUAAGAUUAAUGUGGCUAUAUGCUCCCCAGAUGCAGCGACCAAACUAUAUAUGCUGCCUUUGUAACCCUAUUUUUAGUUUGUAUAGGUUAGAACACAAUAAAAUUGUUCCGAUAAUAAACAUUCCUUAUCUAAAGACUUUUUUUUGGUAAAAACAGGGAGAAAGACAUACUAAGAACUUACAGAAAAAUAAGUCUAGUUACAGAGUUUGAUAAAUUAUAAAACCAAUGUUAAAAUGAAUUUUAAGUAAUUAAUUUUACAUAACAAAAUUAGAGAAAAAAAUAUCUUUUUGUUUUGCGGUUGAGUCUUAUAGUGAUGGCCUGACUGGUUCAAACGCAGCGGUUACGGUUGCGGCUGCGGGCGUUUGCGGAUGCGGGUGGUUGCGGUUUCUAGCGAUUUUAAGAGAUUUCUAUGACUGGUUUUGCGGUUAGAAAUUGUUGCGUUUACGGGAUACUUAUGAUUGUUAACUACCAAAUACAGCAGCGGUUAAAUGAUAAAAUAACAAUAUUUACAUUUUAUAUAAUUAUAAAAAUAUCAAAAAUCAUAAUAUUAUAAUAAAUAUGAAAAUUAUAUUUAGAAAGUUAUAGUUUCAAAUUUUCAAAAUUUUAGAAAAUAUUUUUAUUUUAAAAUUUUAUAAUAUUAAUUAAAAUAUAAUAGAUAUAUUUUAGUAUUUUUAUAAUUCCAUUUUAAAAAAUUUAUUGAAUAUUUUUAUUUUUGUAUUUAUAUGGUUUUUUUUUAAAAAGAAAAAAAAUUAUCCUUCCGCAACCACAAACGCUAGCUGUAACCACCUUUUGAUUUUAAGAGGUUCAGAAUGGUUUGAAGCGAUUUAUAGCGGUUUGUAUGAUUGUUUCGAAACGCUGCCAACCGAUACCAACCGCAAAAGUAGCGGGGAAACCAGUCAAGCUCUAAGUGUGAGAAGAGAUAACAUGUAAGUGCAUGUGUGAAUUAUAAAGCCUAAGCUUGAGUGCUUUCUUGUGGAUAGGAUAAGAAAACAUAUACAUAUGUAAUAUAAAAUUUCAUGUUCAGGUGUUAUAAUAUAGAUUUUUUUACUCUAUAAGACACUUUUCGUCUUAUGUUUUACACUUUUAGACACUUCCCGCUGGCUAGACACAUUAUGUCUGUCUAAUGUCCUUCAUACCCUCAAUUUUGAUCAGACCAAACUAACCUAACCAGAAAUAACUAACCAUGAUUAUAUUUUCUCCUCUCUCCUCUCUCCUCUCUCCUCUCUCCUCUCUCCUCUCACCUUCAAAACGUAGAUCUACUUUCCCUUUCACAAAUUCUCAACUCUAAUUACAUAUCUCUUUCCAAUUCUGAUUUCAAAUCUCAAAUCUACUUUUACUUUUCCAAAUCCCCUAAUUCUAAUUUCAAACUCUCUUCUUCUUCCUAACUCAACCUUUCUCUGGAAAAUUUUGUUUUUCUCUGUUGUUUUUUUUACUUUCUCAAUAAUAAUAUCACAAACCUCAUAAAUUCAUAUGUCUUUCUCUCAGUAAUUUUUAAGAGCUUGUUUCUUUGACCAAACCAACUCUACCUUCCAAUCUAUCUCUGAGCUCGAUCCCUUGCGCUCACUACGACAUAGAAACGUCAAGUUAGCACCAGUGAAAAGGAGAUGUGGAGGAGCAAGGGGAAGAAGAAGACAAGAAAGUUGCGUUUGAAUGUGUGACGACGGCACCUCUCUACUUCAGCGGAGGACGACUGAACCUGUGCGACGACAAACGCAGAGUAGGGCUGAAAUUGGAGAAGUUCAUGAAGCUGAUGAUGUCAACGAGUUUGAUCUGCUGCUAGUUGGUGAUUUGGGUCAUGCUAGAGAGUGAGAGCAACAAUGGUGAAUUUUCAGUUUUUUUUUUUAAUUUGUGGUCCCUCACGUUUUGGUUAUUCACGCUUUCACCCAAUAUUUUUAAAAUGUGCAAAAUAUUUUCUUGAUUUAGAUUAGAUAAACACAUCCACAUCCGUACCUCACAUUUUGGUUUGACUCAUUGUCUCCAGACCUUUGUUUUCUCUUUCAAGUAAUGAAAACACUUUUGUCUACAAAUUUUUAUCUACACAUGUCGUCCACAUCCACAUACCAUGUCGACAUAUUUGUUUUUGUAAACGUUGAUAUAUAUACAUAUAUGAUAUAUAUAAAAUGAUUUCAAAAAUAGAAAAUUAUAUAUAAAAAUUAUUGUAAUAGUAUAUUCAUUUUAUAACUCUUAAAAAUUUGAAAUAAAAUCAAUUGAAAACAUUAGGUGGUAUAAACAAUAAUAAAAUAAAGAAC